GAUGAACGCUAGCGGCAGGCUUAACACAUGCAAGUCGAGGGGCAGCAUAAACAUUGCUUGCAAUGUUUGAUGGCGACCGGCGCACGGGUGCGUAACGCGUAUGUAACCUACCUCAAACAGGGGCAUAACACUGAGAAAUUGGUACUAAUUCCCCAUAACACUCAUUAAGGCAUCUUUUUGAGUUGAAAGUUCCGGCGGUUUGAGAUGGACGUGCGUUGUAUUAGCUAGUUGGUGAGGUAACGGCUCACCAAGGCGACGAUCAGUAGCCGGCCUGAGAGGGCGGACGGCCACAUUGGGACUGAGACACGGCCCAG
rnacentral:rRNA from 1 species